rnacentral:lncRNA from 1 species
UAUCUUCUCCCAAGUUUUCAAGUUUCAACCCACAACUACCAAAUCUAACCACACCAUGGACUGGACUAGGGGAUGUACCCUUGGUCGUGGGUCCUCCGCCACCGUCUCCAUCGCCACCUCCCACCUCUCCGGUGACAUCUUCGCCGUGAAAUCAACUGAGCUCUCCCAGUCCAAAUUGCUCAAGAGGGAACAGAGGAUUCUCUCCACAGUGAGGUCUGCUCACGUGAUUGAAUACAGAGGGUGGAAUGUCACGUGCGAGAAUGGGAAGCAGAUGUACAAUCUGUGCAUGGAGUACGCCGCCGGCGGCACGCUCAAGCAGCGCGGCAGCCUGGGAGAGGCCGCCAUCAGAGCCAACACGCGCGCCAUUCUGCAGGGCCUUCAGUACCUACAUUCCAAUUGCAUUGUCCACUGCGACAUCAAAAGCGAGAAUAUUCUGAUCACCGGCGACGGGUUGAAGAUCGGCGACCUGGGUUGCGCUAGACUCGCCGACGAUUUCUCGGAUUCGGUUUGUGGGACGCCGGCGUUCAUGGCGCCCGAGGUGGCGCGCGGGGAGGAGCAGGGGUUCGCCGCUGAUGUGUGGGCUCUUGGGUGCACGAUCAUUGAGAUGGCCACCGGGCGGGCGCCGUGGACGGAUGUUUCCGACCCGGUUUCGGCUGUUUACCGAAUUGGGUUUUCCGGGGACGUGCCGGAGAUUCCAGGGUGGGUGUCGGAGGACGCUAAGGAUUUUUUGGGGAAGUGUUUGGUGAGGGACCCAGUGCAGAGGUGGUCAGUUGGCGAGCUUCUUGGGCACCCUUUUGUCAACGAAGCUUGUGUUUUUUCCAAAGAAGUUUAUGGGUCAAGUUCAAGCAGUCCGACAAGUGUGUUGGAUCAAAGGUUCUGGAGCUCCUCCAUUGAAGAACUGUACCCAUUUCACAAGAAAUCUUGGAAUUCUCCAAGGGAGAGGAUCCACUUCUUGGCAAAUUCAAAUUCAAAUUCAGGAUUGCCCAAUUGGGGAUGGGAUGAAAAUUGGGUGACAGUGAGGAGUGGCAGCAUGGAAGAACCAGAGGUGGUUUCUGAGGCUCCCACAGCCACCAUGGCUUGGGCCGGUGAGGACCCUGGCAUGGUAGGUUUCAGGGAACCCACACCCACUGCUGCAAUGGACAGUUGUAAUAGUUGUAAUUUGUCACGUUUAAAAUGUAAAUGCAUGAAUUAUGUUUUAUGUGGAAAUCUUAAUUUUGAUUUUGUGGCAAAUUUUAAUGAUAGUUCCAGUCGUCUAGUCCACCUCUACCAUAACUUAACUAAAUUUGGGAGCAAAGUUGAUUUAGCAAUUUCAAAUGGAUUAAGUUGUGUUAGUGUCACAUGAUUGUUCGGAAACUAGAUGAGUCAUGAGCUUGGGUAAUCUUCAUAAAUGAUCAAUAAAUUGCUCAAAUGAAAGCUAGAAUGGACUUUCUGUCCUCAUCCACCCUAACUCCUAAUUCAUCUUUCGUCACCAUUACUCAAGCAUCUACCUCAAACACGAGAAAAAAAUGUGUUUUUAUUCACAUAUAAAAAAAAAUAGAAAAUAAAAACCUUUAAAAUGAAGGGAAUGUGUACUUAUAUAUUAUGCAAAUAUUCCUUAAAUAUUUUUUAUAUUUAAAUUUUUUUUAUAAUAUUCUAUAAAUAAGUAAAUGAAUACACCUUAAAUUUGCAAUCUUUUCUUAAACAAGUUUUCAAAAAGUUGUUUGGGUGAAAUAUUUGUAUAUCUACUUUUUAUUUUAAAAACACAACAUUUUUAAGAAUGUUUUCCAUGUUGAAGGAUUUGUUAGAAUAAAUUUUUUUGAUAUUUUUUAAAAUAAAAGUCUGUUUAAAACUUAAAACAUUUUCAACUUAAUUUUUUUUAUGUUUUUAAAUAUUUCUUUAAAAUAAAUUUUAUUUUAUUUUUAAUCAUUCUCCAUAUUUAUAUAAUUAUUUUCUUAAAACAAUUUAAAAUAAACAAAUAAAAACAAUUAAUAUUUGUUAGUAGGAAACAUCUUAUUUUCGGAAUAAGUUUUCAAAAAAUUGUUUUCUUAUCCUGGUGGGAAUAUUUUUAGAAUAAUAGUUGGACAGGCUCUGAACCCAUCAAUACUAUUUUCUCCAUCUCAAUAUUGAAACCAUUGCUUUAUCAGCUCUUCUUUUUUCAUUUUUCUCUGCAANNNNNNNNNNNNNNNNNNNNNNNNNNNNNNNNNNNNNNNNNNNNNNNNNNNNNNNNNNNNNNNNNNNNNNNNNNNNNNNNNNNNNNNNNNNNNNNNNNNNGCCUUUUCCCCUUUCUUUAGUCUUUACAACCAAUUCCCAACUGUCUCCUUCUAACAUAUUCUUUCUCCCCACUUUUGGAGUUAGUUCCAACCUUCCCUCCCCACCUAUCUCAUCCUUUGCUUUGAUUCCCUCUUUGAUUAUAACUUCACCCCCAAUCCAAACCUUCUCCCCCUGAAAUUCAUACCUAUUAUUAAAUGGGUCUAUAGAUAUUAUAAACCCAAUCACAAAUCAUCCAUGACUUCGAGGUUUUAUCAUAAAAUCAUGUAAUAAAUCAAUAAAGUCUAAAGUGGUCUUUCUUUCUCCUUUUAAGUUUACUUAUUGUAUGGGAGUUAGUGGAUAUAAUUUCUACCAAACAUACAUAAGUUUUUAGUUAAUACACGAAAGUUAUACCAUAAUUUUUCUAUUUUUAUAUAACUACAUGCAUUGGAUGAUGAAUGUGAAGUAACGGGUUAUUAUCGGGGAAAUAAUGAGUCGAGCAAAUAAAAUAGUUUUAUUGUUUUGUACCCGAAUAAAAAAAUCACUUAUUAAAUGAUUGUCUUAUUAUUUUAAAAUUAUUUCAAAAUCACUCCCAAAUCCCAAAUGAGAUGUAUGAGGUGAAAAUGGAUGAAGUUGGGGGGUUACUUGAUAUUAUCCAAAGAGCAAGAGCCUUCACAAAAUCAUCUGCCCAUGUCCAUAUCACACAAUUCUCAUAUAAAAGAAAAAAGUUGAGAGAUUGCCCACAACUCACAACUGUAAACACGUGAGCACGUGCCACCAAGUGGAGGGUAUUAUUCAGAGGCACGCAACCGCCGGUGGGCGGCCAACGACGUUGAUCCGCCCUCCUUCUGCCAUGUGGAGCCCUCCCAAUGCAUCCACCCAAUUCUAACUCCAAGCCAACCACAUUGAUCAAGCCAAACUCUUAAAUAAUAUAAAUUUCGAUUCUUUCAAAUUUCUAUAUAUAUAUAUACCUGUAAACUAUCUUCUCCCUAGUUUUCAAGUUUCAACCCACAACUACCAAAUCUAACCACACCAUGGACUGGACUAGGGGAUGUACCCUUGGUCGUGGGUCCUCCGCCACCGUCUCCAUCGCCACCUCCCACCUCUCCGGUGACAUCUUCGCCGUGAAAUCAACUGAGCUCUCCCAGUCCAAAUUGCUCAAGAGGGAACAGAGGAUUCUCUCCACAGUGAGGUCUGCUCACGUGAUUGAAUACAGAGGGUGGAAUGUCACGUGCGAGAAUGGGAAGC